UUAAAUUUUCAUUUAUAAUAAUAAUAAUAAUAAUAAUAAUAAUUUUAUCAGAAAGAAAGACAGACAGACAGGGCACAAGACAACAAAUACAUGUUACUUUCUCUUUGUUUCUUAAUUAGUAAUAAUAAUUAAAAAGUAAGAAAGCUAAACAGCUAGCUACCUAAGCACAUCCUUUAGGAGCAAACCCGACCCGUGAACCGGCCAAAUCAUACACCACCCGGAACCCUUGUUGCUGGAUAUUCCCAAUAAUAGAUAACCCACUAGUGGUUCCCGCAAAUGCCAGGCAGAAGCUCCCAUUGCUAUCGACCGGAAUCAAGUAAUUCGACGCCGGCAACGACACGUCAGCACCUUUGAAAUGCAUCACCACCGUUGGCACCUUCACCUCCGUCUUCCCCGACAGAUCGAAACACGCGUCGAAAAGUGAAAAAUUGGGUCCCCUCUUCAAAUGAGAUGCUCCGGACAAGAAGGCGUUUCGCAGCGCCACGUAAGCCGGUCGAGUCAAGCGGGUGACCGAGGUCCCUGAGUCGAUGAUGACCCCGCCAUUCCCUGAGUUGUCCAGCUGGAACAAGGAGCUGGAGAUUCCGGGUACUCGAACACCCCCUACUGAUAUACCUGCGAGUCCCACGUAGUAAAACGUGUCCAGUUUGGGGUUACUGACUAAAGGAGUGAAACGCGCCACACGCGAAACGGCAGCGUUUCCAAACACCAAAGAGGAUGGUUUAGCCGACAUGGACCUGUCCACUAAACAAUACGAAAACUUUGACCCGAACUGACGACCCGCCUGGUUCGGGAAAGAUAACUUUCCCCGGCCCAGGCCCAAUAGCCCGGCAGCACCAACAAAGAGGCCCUCGUUAUCGUGACCACACCCAAAAGCAAUAUUAUUGACUUUUGUUUUCCUGAACGUAAGGGUUUCGGUGGAGAACUCGCCGACGGUGAAGGAACCGUCACCGUAGGACACCUGGUACAUACAUUUCUUGUUGCGGUUGUUGCACCCGGGGGAAUCAAGGCGGUUACAGAGGGGUGUACCGCAGGCAACGCCGGCGAAGGUCUUGGAUUUGGUGGGGUUGAAGAUGGGGGUGUUUUCGGUUAAUGAUAAUUGUUCUUCUUCUGAUGAUGAUAGAGGGAGGGUGUUUGUGUUUGGUUGAGGGAGGGUGUGAGAGGAAGGGAUUAGGGUCUGGUAUUUGGUAGCGUUGGUGGAGAGGGAGAACAGGAGGAGGAGGAGGAGGAGGGCGGUGCCGGUGAAGAAACCGGCCAUUGUUUUGUUGUUCAAGUGGA
rnacentral:lncRNA from 1 species